AGUGAACGCUGGCGGUAGGCCUAACACAUGCAAGUCGAACGGCAGCACAGUAAGCGCUUGCUCUUACGGGUGGCGAGUGGCGGACGGGUGAGGAAUACAUCGGCAUCUACUUUUUCGUGGGGGAUAACGUAGGGAAACUUACGCUAAUACCGCAUACGACCUACGGGUGAAAGCAGGGGAUCUUCGGACCUUGCGCGAUUGAAUGAGCCGAUGUCGGAUUAGCUAGUUGGCGGGGUAAAGGCCCACCAAGGCGACGAUCCGUAGCUGGUCUGAGAGGAUGAUCAGCCACACUGGAACUGAGAAACGGUCCAGACUCCUACGGGAGGCAGCAGUGGGGAAUAUUGGGCAAUGGGCGCAAGCCUGAUGCAGCCAUACCGCGUGGGUGAAGAAGGCCUUCGGGUUGUAAAGCCCUUUUGUUAGGAAAGAAAAGCAGCAGGUUAAAACCCCGAUGUUCUGACGGUACCCAAAGAAUAAGCACCGGCUAACUUCGUG
rnacentral:rRNA from 1 species